UCUCCCACCUCGACGUCUCCGUCAACAGAUUUUCCGGCGAUCUUGGCACUCUCCUCUAGUGAUGCGAGAGUCUCGCAUUUUUUAACGUCUCCGGCGAAACGACGACAUCUGUGGAAGAAGAAGUUGAAGUUCCUGUCGCUAUCCGACAACCAAUUCCAGGACGAGAGUUUGACAAGUCUCGUCGACGAUUUGUCUUCAGGUCUUGUGCGAAUCUCGUCUAUCUUCGAACAAUCUCACCGGUUUGAUUCCUCUCGAGUUUUCUUCAUGUUCAUCAUCGUUGGAUACCUUUAAUCUUUCAAUCAAAAAGUCACCGACGAGCUCCCUGUUUGAAUUUUCAGAGCUUAAUUUGAAUCAAAUUAUGCACUCAAUUCAGCCAAACAGAUGAACAACGAAAUAGCAACUGAAUUUUCCGAUCGGUCACUUAGUUGACUUUACAACAAGCUGCGGCUCCAGUGGAGCACUCAAUACCCCUACAGACAGCCUCGACUUAGUCGGUCGUUGUUGGCUUGUUGCAUGUUGCGAGGACUGUGAUACAAAGACGGAUGCCAGAGAUUUGGAAUCUGAGCAAGAACAGGUUCCUCAGGCCUGGAUUUCACCUCCGUAGAGUAUAUUGCAAGGAGGAUGGCCUCGAAACUAGCGAGGGAAGGAGAGGAAGUCGAUUCGGAUGAGUGGAUCUGGAAGAGGUAAAUGCCGAUGAGAAGAGGAACGAAAGGGAAAACGAUUAGACUGAGGUGAGAGUGGAAGAGCAACUUAGGAAGAGAUGGAGUUGAAUUAAAAAUUAAAAAUCCACAUGGACAAUAAAUCCACAUGGAAGAGAUGGAGUGAUAUAGGGUCGCCUUUUCGAAAGAGGUUCUCUAAGCAAUGUUAGCAAAAUCCCGAUCAAGUAUUUCAUUAAUGUUCCCUUCCUCGAUGUGAAAAUUAUUCCAAGUGAAGCGUUGGCCAUUGAAGCCUAGGUCCAUCAAGUCGUUGUUGAAUAAGAAGUCGCUAAAAGGUGCUCUUCUUUCUUCUCUGAUCGGGUCUCCUCCCCAUUUCUCGUUGUCACUUAUUAAUGCAUUAAAAUCUCC
rnacentral:lncRNA from 1 species